rnacentral:lncRNA from 1 species
AAGGCUACUUUUCAUUAGAAAAAAGUGAAGUUUCUACAAUCAAGUAUAAUGACAAGGAACAGGGGAAAAUUGAUUAAUAUAAAAGAGAUACAGUCCUUUCUUAAUGACUGUUUCGAUAGAUAUUAACAGUAGUCUCAAAAUUUUAUCCCGAAAUAGGCACAUUUGUCAGCUCCCUUGUCUUUUGUAUGAACAUCUCGGAUCAUGAUCUUCACCCUUUCUGUGUUAAGCUUUUGU